rnacentral:rRNA from 1 species
CUACGGGUCGCUGCAGUGGGGAAUAUUGCACAAUGGGGGAAACCCUGAUGCAGCAACGCCGCGUGGAGGAUGACACAUUUCGGUGCGUAAACUCCUUUUAUAGGUCAAGAUAAUGACGGUAGCCUAUGAAUAAGCGCCGGCUAACUCCGUGCCAGCAGCCGCGGUAAUAAGGAGGGCGCAAGCGUUACUCGGAAUCACUGGGCGUAAAGAGCAUGUAGGCGGGUUAAUAAGUCAGAAGUGAAAUCCAAUAGCUCAACUAUUGAACUGCUUUUGAAACUGUUAACCUAGAGUGUGGGAGAGGUAGAUGGAAUUUCUGGUGUAGGGGUAAAAUCCGUAGAGAUCAGAAGGAAUACCGAUUGCGAAGGCGAUCUACUGGAACAUUACUGACGCUGAGAUGCGAAAGCGUGGGGAGCAAACAGGAUUAGAUACCCUAGUAGUC